rnacentral:lncRNA from 1 species
GCGCCCCGCGGACGGCCCUCGGCUCCCAGGAAUUUGGGGUGAUUUUUUUUUGGUGAUUUUUUUCCCCCCUGCGGAGUCCCAGGAGCGCUCCGAUGUCGCACAGGUCGCCCCGUCUCUCCCGCUGGAUGGAGGAGACCAGGCAUC